GACGAACGCUGGCGGCGCGCCUAACACAUGCAAGUCGAACGGAGCUUAGAGAGCUUGCUUUUUAAGCUUAGUGGCGAACGGGUGAGUAACGCGUGAGUAACCUGCCCUAGAGUGGGGGACAACAGUUGGAAACGACUGCUAAUACCGCAUAAGCCCACGGUACCGCAUGGUACUGAGGGAAAAGGAUUUAUUCGCUUUAGGAUGGACUCGCGUCCAAUUAGCUAGUUGGUGAGGUAACGGCCCACCAAGGCGACGAUUGGUAGCCGGACUGAGAGGUUGAACGGCCACAUUGGGACUGAGACACGGCCCAGACUCCUACGGGAGGCAGCAGUGGGGGAUAUUGCACAAUGGGGGAAACCCUGAUGCAGCGACGCCGCGUGGAGGAAGAAGGUUUUCGGAUUGUAAACUCCUGUCGUUAGGGACGAUAAUGACGGUACCUAACAAGAAAGCACCGGCUAACUACGUGCCAGCAGCCGCGGUAAAACGUAGGGUGCAAGCGUUGUCCGGAAUUACUGGGUGUAAAGGGAGCGCAGGCGGGAAGACAAGUUGGAAGUGAAAACCAUGGGCUCAACCCAUGAAUUGCUUUCAAAACUGUUUUUCUUGAGUAGUGCAGAGGUAGAUGGAAUUCCCGG
rnacentral:rRNA from 1 species